UCACUCUGGUUUCCCUUCAAAUCACGCAUAAAUCUUUCGCCUUUUACUAAAGAUUUCCGUGGAGGGGAACAAUUGAUGAGUCUGUAAGACAAUUUUUUGUUGUACCCAGCUUUUUCAAGCUGGGU
rnacentral:snRNA from 1 species